rnacentral:rRNA from 1 species
GCAGCAGCUGCGGUAAUUCCAGCUCCAGUAGCGUAUAUUAAAGUUGUUGCAGUUAAAAAGCUCGUAGUCGGAUUUUGGCAUCACGCCGUACUGUCUGCCGAUUGGUAUGCACGGUUUGGCGGGUGCUUCCUUCCGGAGGCUCGUUCCCUCCUUAACUGAAGGGUUCGUUGGUUCCGGUUCUUUUACUUUGAGAAAAUUAGAGUGUUCAAAGCAGGCCUAUGCUCUGAAUAGGUUAGCAUGGAAUAAUAGAAUAGGACUUUGGUUCUAUUUUGUUGGUUUCUAGGACCGAAGUAAUGAUUAAUAGGGACAGUUGGGGGCAUUCAUAUUCCAUUGUGAGAGGUGAAAUUCUUGGAUUAACGGAAGAUGAACUUCUGCGAAAGCAUCUGCCAAGGAUGUUUUCAUUGAUAAAGAACGAAAGU